rnacentral:rRNA from 1 species
AGCAGGUCCCAAGGGUAUGGCUGUUCGCCAUUUAAAGUGGUACGCGAGCUGGGUUCAGAACGUCGUGAGACAGUUCGGUCCCUAUCUGCCGUGGGCGUUCGAGAUUUGAGGGGAGCUGUCUUUAGUACGAGAGGACCGAGAUGGACACACCUCUGGUGUUCCGGUUGUCACGCCAGUGGCACUGCCGGGUAGCUAAGUGUGGAAGGGAUAACCGCUGAAAGCAUCUAAGCGGGAAGCCCACCCCAAGAUGAGAUCUCGCUGGGACCUUGAGUCCCCUGAAGGGCCGUUGAAGACCACAACGUUGAUAGGCUGGGUGUGGAAGCGCAGUAAUGCGUGUAGCUAACCAGUACUAAUGACCCGUGAGGCUUGACCAU